rnacentral:lncRNA from 1 species
UACAGUUGGCUGGGUAGUGCUUACCACCUAAACAGUGCCAUGUGAGCCAAUGAUUGACCUAGCUAUAAAUGUCCUGUUGGCUACCUUUUACAAAGGGGUUUAAUAAAUAUUUAUCAAUAGGUUUUAACAAACUUUCCCCCCCAAAAGAAUCUGAUAGUAAUUGGAAGACAAAUCAUGAAUGUGAAUAAAAGAUGACUUUUAUCCUUUUAAUCACUUUGAAUUUUCCUAAUUUCUUUUAUGACUGUCUUCUCAUCAUUUCAUUUUUCUUGAGUUGUUAUAAUUCUCUCCCAGUUGUUUUUAGCCACACUGACCCUUCCUGUUCUUGACUUCUUUUAGCAACCAGUUGUUAUUGAUGCUUGUUGUCCCAGCUGAAUUGUAAGAGCCUUGGUGUCUGGGACCAUACUUUAUGUUGCUUUUGUAUAUUAUAAACUAGUUGUGUCCAAAAGCCUGUUGAAUAGAUGGAAUCUUAUUUACAAAUGGGAAACAGAAACAUAGCCAUCAAAUGGAUACUUCCCCAUUUUGUCUUCAUUGCUACUUUUUCAGAAGCUAUCCUUG